GACGAACGCUGGCGGCGUGCUUAACACAUGCAAGUCGAACGGAAAGGCCCUGCUUUUGUGGGGUGCUCGAGUGGCGAACGGGUGAGUAACACGUGAGUAACCUGCCCUUGACUUUGGGAUAACUUCAGGAAACUGGGGCUAAUACCGGAUAGGAGCUCCUGCUGCAUGGUGGGGGUUGGAAAGUUUCGGCGGUUGGGGAUGGACUCGCGGCUUCUCAGCUUGUUGGUGGGGUAGUGGCUUACCAAGGCUUUGACGGGUAGCCGGCCUGGGAGGGGGACCGGCGACAUGGGGACUGAGAGAGGGCCCAGACUCCUACGGGAGGCAGCAGUGGGGAACAUUGCACAAUGGGCGGAAGCCUGAUGCAGCAACGCCGCGUGCGGGAUGACGGCCUUCGGGUGGUAAACCGCUUUCGCCUGUGACGAAGAGUGAGUGACGGUAAUGGGUAAAGAAGCACCGGCUAACUACGUG
rnacentral:rRNA from 1 species